UACGUAGGGUGCGAGCGUUGUCCGGAAUUAUUGGGCGUAAAGAGCUUGUAGGCGGUCUGUCGCGUCUGCUGUGAAAAUCCGGGGCUCAACCCCGGACUUGCAGUGGGUACGGGCAGACUAGAGGUGUGGUAGGGAGACUGGAAUUCCUGGUGUAGCGGUGAAAUGCGCAGAUAUCAGGAGGAACACCCGAUGGGCGAAGGCAGGUCUCU
rnacentral:rRNA from 1 species